rnacentral:rRNA from 1 species
UACGAAGGGGGCUAGCGUUGUUCGGAUUUACUGGGCGUAAAGCGCGUGUAGGCGGAUCGUUAAGUCGGGGGUGAAAGCCCAGAGCUCAACUCUGGAAUUGCCUUCGAUACUGGCGGUCUGGAGCAGAGAAGAGGCGAGUGGAAUUCCGAGUGUAGAGGUGAAAUUCGUAGAUAUUCGGAGGAACACUAGAGGCGAAGGCGGCUCGCUGGUGUCUUGCUGACGCUGAGACGCGAAAGCGUGGGGAGCAAACAGG